UAUCUCUGUAGAGUCUGCAUAUCAAUAAGCGGAGGAAAAGAAACUAACUAGGAUUCCCUCAGUAACGGCGAGUGAAGCGGGAAGAGCUCAAAUUUGAAAUCUUCAAGGUUCUACCUUGACGAAUUGUAGUUUAAAGAAGUGUUUUCUGUUGGAGUUUUGGUAAAAGUUCUUUGGAAUAGGACAUCAUAGAGGGUGAGAAUCCCGUAUUUGACCAUUAUUUCCAGCUUUGUGAUACACUUUCAAAGAGUCGGAUUGUUUGGGAAUGCAGUCCAAAAUGGGUGGUAAAUUUCAUCUAAAGCUAAAUAUUGGCGAGAGACCGAUAGCGAACAAGUACCGUGAGGGAAAGAUGAAAAGAACUUUGAAAAGAGAGUUAAACAGUACGUGAAAUUGUCAAAAGGGAAGCGUUUGACACCAGUGUUGUUUAGUUGAAAAUCAAUUUAUGAUGGCUUGAUGCUAAGCUUUAAGACUUUAUCCGCUUGUUGUUUAGUUUUCUUGUCUUUGUGAAUGCACUUUUCGUGGAACAAGUCAACAUCAAUUUCUUUUGCUGUAAAAGGGUAAGAGGAAGGUGGCUUCGGCUUCGGUUGAAGUGUUUAUAGCCUUUUAUCUCUGCAGUCGGAGAGAUUGAGGUCUGCAGCGUAGACUCUUCGGGGUUAGAUACGUCGGUGCUAAGCUAUAGCUUUUCAUAGACAACUUGUUGACUAUGUUCAGUCAUGUAGCUUACUCGCUGCUGCUAUUUUACCUACGCUUAGGAUGUUGAGUCAUCACACAUCUCU
rnacentral:rRNA from 1 species